UUCCCGAUUCGUGUGUGCUCACCCAAGG
rnacentral:piRNA from 1 species